ensembl:snRNA U6 U6 spliceosomal RNA
GGGCUCAGUUUGGGACACAUAUACUAAAACUGGAACAAUACAGAGGAAAUUAGCAUGGACUGUGUGCAAAAAUGACAUGAAAAGUCAUGAAGCAUUCUACAUAUUU